GAUAAACGCUGGCGGCGUGCCUAACACAUGCAAGUCGAACGAUCCCGCAAGGGAGAGUGGCGGAAGGGUGAGUAACACGUGGGAAUCUACCUCCUCGCAGGGAACAACCUCUCGAAAGAGAGGCUAAUACCCAAAAGGGUCAGAAAUGAUCAGAGUCGAAAGGCGUGAGGAGAGGAGCCCGCGGCCCAUCAGCUAGUUGGUGAGGUAAUGGCUUACCAAGGCUACGACGGGUAGGGGAUCUGAGAGGAUGUCCCCCACACUGGAACUGAAACACGGUCCAGACGCCUACGGGUGGCAGCAGUGAGGAAUAUUGGACAAUGGGCGAAAGCCCGAUCCAGCAACGCCGCGUGGAGGAUGAAGGCCUUCGGGUCGUAAACUUCUUUAGAGGGAGACGAGAAAGGACGGUAUCCCUAGAAUAAGCGACGGCAAACUACGUGCCAGCAGCCGCGGUAA
rnacentral:rRNA from 1 species